UGAACCAGAUUGCUCAGUGCAUGGGAAAGGAGACAGAUCUCUAAAAUGCAUCUUCAGGAGUCCAGUCGCGAAGUCCUAGUUAGGAUAUUCAUUCUCGUUGGACAUGAAUUGAAAGAUAAACCCAGGUUUAGGUCUGUAGGAGAAGAGUCUUCCUAAAAAUCACUGUGGCUUUCAAAUUCAGUGUUGCAUUUUUGUCUCACAGAUGUUAGAAAGUAUGUUUCCAAGGUAGGCCUUUUACUAGGGCUUACAUUGGAAAGUGGCAUUUUGUCUCCUACAUAACAUUUCUUUAUCCUUUCCUUGAAGAUGGAUGCACACAUUCAUAUACACACACACUCUCUCUGUCUUUCUCUCUCUCUCACACACACACCCUUUUUUGUAACUGCAUUGGUAUCUCUGAUCCCGUAAUUUAUGUCAGCAAAAAAUAUUCUCCUGUAAAGCAGCAAUUUUAUGAUCAGACUGGUAAUAUGAAAACAGCAAUUUGAUCAAAUAGAAAGGAUCGAAGAAAAAUAAAUCUAGACGGAUGUUUGACGUACAUAUUAUAACAGCAUGGUAAUAGUUUCGAUUUUUUUUUUUUUAUUUUCUUGAUGGUGAAGCCCAAACAUAAUAUCUAUCGCUUCUAUUUUAGUGGCAAAAAUGAACUGCAAAUGUAGAAACUUGUUCUGCAGAAUUCUCAUUAACGUGUGUGCAAAAGUAGACAUUGAGACACGGGGAAAGAGCUGUGUAGCAGUAAACAAUAUGGUCUUAUUUCCCUCCUUUCUGUUAUAAAUUUGAACAGUUUCUUACCUUUCUCUGAGGUUAUAACUGGUGCACUUCAGCAGAAAUCUAUGUCAAGUUCAAGUUCUUCUCACAACAUCAAUACUACUGUUCCAGGUCCACCUAGGAUUCCUCGUCCUCACCCUAAUUCCUCAGCAACCUUAAUACACUUAUCAACUUUCCAGUUUUCUAUGGAUAUGAAGAUUUACUUCUAGUCAUCACUGGGACCCCAUGAAGUCAGCCAGAAAGCCUAUGUCCAACUUAUGUACCUUUGCAAACUUGUCUGGAUUUUGAAUGUAUGUGCAAAACAGAUUGUAUUUAGGUAUUCAUUAAACAUCUAUUGAGCAUCUACUGUCUGUCAGGCACAGUGCUAGGCAUCUGAGAAACAAGGAUGGUCCCUACAGUUUAAUGUGAAGAGAUGUUUUAAUUGUAUUCCACAAGUAUAUUGAUCAUGACUUUAUUUUGAUGUUUCUUCCUAAAUAAGUUUUAUAUCAACUAAAUGGAUACUGUUAGGUGUAAAAAAAAUGCAUGUUUAAGAAGGAUUUUGCUGUAUUUUAUUAAAAUAGAAAAAUAUAAAGAAAAAUUUUCCACUUAAUACUGUAUUCUGGGGAUUUCUAUUCUGUGUAUAACUCAUUAAUUUUAGACCGUAAAAUUAGUGUAUGUGGCUAUCAUUGCUAGUAUUUUAUUGAUGAAUACUUUUAUUUGAAGGUUAUCAACAUUGUUCAUUGAAGUAUCUCAUUAAAUUAUUCCCCUGCAAAAACAAAA